rfam:Clostridium beijerinckii NCIMB 8052, complete genome.
UAAAUGGUGGAAAUCCAUUCUGAAAAGAUUAAGUCAAAUCAUUCAGUAGCGAGUCAUUGAAAUAAAUAGGUAACUAUUUAUUUUAAGCGUUGACAGUUAGGUAGUAGGCUUGAAUGUGAAUGAGCCUCGUAAUAAGU